rnacentral:rRNA from 1 species
UUAAGCAGGAUGUGAAAUCCCCGGGCUCAACCCGGGAACUGCGUUCUGAACUGGGUGACUCGAGUGUGUCAGAGGGAGGUAGAAUUCCACGUGUAGCAGUGAAAUGCGUAGAGAUGUGGAGGAAUACCGAUGGCGAAGGCAGCCUCCUGGGACAACACUGACGUUCAUGCCCGAAAGCGUGGGUAGCAAACAGGAUUAGAUACCCUGGUAGUCCACGCCCUAAACGAUGUCAAUUAGCUGUUGGGCAACCUGAUUGCUUGGUAGCGUAGCUAACGCGUGAAAUUGACCGCCUGGGGAGUACGGUCGCAAGAUUAAAACUCAAAGGAAUUGACGGGGACCCGCACAAGCGGUGGAUGAUGUGGAUUAAUUCGAUGCAACGCGAAGAACCUUACCUGGUCUUGACAUGUACGGAAUCCUCUGGAGACGGAGGAGUGCCUUCGGGAGCCGUAACACAGGUGCUGCAUGGCUGUCGUCAGCUCGUGUCGUGAGAUGUUGGGUUAAGUCCCGCAACGAGCGCAACCCUUGUCAUUAGUUGCCAUCAUUCAGUUGGGCACUCUAAUGAGACUGCCGGUGACAAGCCGGAGGAAGGUGGGGAUGACGUCAAGUCCUCAUGGCCCUUAUGACCAGGGCUUCACACGUCAUACAAUGGUCGGUACAGAGGGUAGCCAAGCCGCGAGGCGGAGCCAAUCUCACAAAACCGAUCGUAGUCCGGAUUGCACUCUGCAACUCGAGUGCAUGAAGUCGGAAUCGCUAGUAAUCGCAGGUCAGCAUACUGCGGUGAAUACGUUCCCGGGUCUUGUACACACCGCCCGUCACACCAUGGGAGUGGGGGAUACCAGAAGUAGGUAGGAUAACCGCAAGGAGUCCGCUUACCACGGUAUGCUUCAUGACUGGGGUGAAGUCGUAACAAGGUAGCCGUAGGGGAACCUGCGGCUGGAUCACCUCCUUUCUA